UCCCGAGACCGAGGAAGCUUGCUUCUGAAGAAUCAUUUGGAAUACUUAGUGGCGGACGGGUGAGUAACGCGUGGGUAACCUGCCUCACACAGGGGGAUAACAGUUGGAAACGACUGUUAAUACCGCAUAAGCGCACAGUACCGCAUGGUACAGUGUGAAAAACUCCGGUGGUGUGAGAUGGACCCGCGUCUGAUUAGCUAGUUGGUGAGGUAACGGCCCACCAAGGCGACGAUCAGUAGCCGGCCUGAGAGGGUGUACGGCCACAUUGGGACUGAGACACGGCCCAAACUCCUACGGGAGGCAGCAGUGGGGAAUAUUGCACAAUGGGGGAAACCCUGAUGCAGCGACGCCCGCGUGAGUGAUGAAGUAUCUCGGUAUGUAAAGCUCUACCAGCAGGGAAGAUAAUGACGGUACCUGACUAAGAAGCACCGGCUAAAUACGUGCCAGCCGCAGC
rnacentral:rRNA from 1 species